GAUGAACGCUAGCUACAGGCUUAACACAUGCAAGUCGAGGGGCAGCAUGGUCUUAUCUUGCUAAGGCUGAUGGCGACCGGCGCACGGGUGAGUAACACGUAUCCAACCUGCCGUCUACUCUUGGACAGCCUUCUGAAAGGAAGAUUAAUACAAGAUGGCAUCAUGAGUCCGCAUGUUCACAUGAUUAAAGGUAUUCCGGUAGACGAUGGGGAUGCGUUCCAUUAGAUAGUAGGCGGGGUAACGGCCCACCUAGUCUUCGAUGGAUAGGGGUUCUGAGAGGAAGGUCCCCCACAUUGGAACUGAGACACGGUCCAAACUCCUACGGGAGGCAGCAGUGAGGAAUAUUGGUCAAUGGGCGAGAGCCUGAACCAGCCAAGUAGCGUGAAGGAUGACUGCCCUAUGGGUUGUAAACUUCUUUUAUAAAGGAAUAAAGUCGGGUAUGGAUACCCGUUUGCAUGUACUUUAUGAAUAAGGAUCGGCUAACUCCGUGCCAGCAGCCGCGGUAAUACGGAGGAUCCGAGCGUUAUCCGGAUUUAUUGGGUUUAAAGGGAGCGUAGAUGGAUGUAUAAGUCAGUUGUGAAAGUUUGCGGCUCAACCGUAAAAUUGCAGUUGAUACUGGAUAUCUUGAGUGCAGUUGAGGCAGGCGGAAUUCGUGGUGUAGCGGUGAAAUGCUUAGAUAUCAGGAAGAACUCCGAUUGCGAAGGCAGCCUGGUAAGCUGCAACUGACAUUG
rnacentral:rRNA from 1 species